UACGGGGGGGGCAAGCGUUGUUCGGAAUUACUGGGCGUAACGGGCUCGUAGGCGGCCAACUAAGUCGGACGUGAAAUCCCCAGGCUCAACCUGGGAACUGCGUCCGAUACUGGAUGGCUUGAAUCCGGGAGAGGGAUGCAGAAUUCCAGGUGUAGCGGUGAAAUGCGUAGAUAUCUGGAGGAAUACUGGUGGCGAAGGCGGCAUCCUGGACCGGCAUUGACGCUGAGGAGCGAAAGCCAGGGGAGCAAACGGG
rnacentral:rRNA from 1 species